GAUGAACGCUGGCGGCGUGCCUAAUACAUGCAAGUCGAGCGAACAGACGAGGAGCUUGCUCCUCUGACGUUAGCGGCGGACGGGUGAGUAACACGUGGAUAACCUACCUAUAAGACUGGGAUAACUUCGGGAAACCGGAGCUAAUACCGGAUAACAUGUUGAACCGCAUGGUUCAACAGUGAAAGACGGUUUUGCUGUCACUUAUAGAUGGAUCCGCGUCGCAUUAGCUAGUUGGUAAGGUAACGGCUUACCAAGGCAACGAUGCGUAGCCGACCUGAGAGGGUGAUCGGCCACACUGGAACUGAGACACGGUCCAGACUCCUACGGGAGGCAGCAGUAGGGAAUCUUCCGCAAUGGGCGAAAGCCUGACGGAGCAACGCCGCGUGAGUGAAGAAGGUCUUCGGAUCGUAAAACUCUGUUAUUAGGGAAGAACAAAUGUGUAAGUAACUAUGCACGUCUGGACGGUACCUAAUCAGAAAGCCACGGCUAACUACGU
rnacentral:rRNA from 1 species